UGAACUCGCUGUGAAGAUGCAGUGUACCCGCGGCAAGACGGAAAGACCCCGUGAACCUUUACUAUAGCUUGACACUGAACAUUGAGCCUUGAUGUGUAGGAUAGGUGGGAGGCUUUGAAGCGUGGACGCCAGUCUGCGUGGAGCCGACCUUGAAAUACCACCCUUUAAUGUUUGAUGUUCUAACGUGGACCCGUAAUCCGGGUUGCGGACAGUGUCUGGUGGGUAGUUUGACUGGGGCGGUCUCCUCCUAAAGAGUAACGGAGGAGCACGAAGGUUGGCUAAUCCUGGUCGGACAUCAGGAGGUUAGUGCAAUGGCAUAAGCCAGCUUGACUGCGAGCGUGACGGCGCGAGCAGGUGCGAAAGCAGGUCAUAGUGAUCCGGUGGUUCUGAAUGGAAGGGCCAUCGCUCAACGGAUAAAAGGUACUCCGGGGAUAACAGGCUGAUACCGCCCAAGAGUUCAUAUCGACGGCGGUGUUUGGCACCUCGAUGUCGGCUCAUCACAUCCUGGGGCUGAAGUAGGUCCCAAGGGUAUGGCUGUUCGCCAUUUAAAGUGGUACGCGAGCUGGGUUUAGAACGUCGUGAGACAGUUCGGUCCCUAUCUGCCGUGGGCGCUGGAGAACUGAGGGGGGCUGCUCCUAGUACGAGAGGACCGGAGUGGACGCAUCACUGGUGUUCGGGUUGUCAUGCCAAUGGCACUGCCCGGUAGCUAAAUGCGGAAGAGAUAAGUGCUGAAAGCAUCUAAGCACGAAACUUGCCCCGAGAUGAGUUCUCCCUGAGACUUAGAGUCUCCUGAAGGAACGUUGAAGACGACGACGUUGAUAGGCCGGGUGUGUAAGCGCAGCGAUGCGUUGAGCUAACCGGUACUAAUGAACCGUGAGGCUUAACCUU
rnacentral:rRNA from 1 species